CCCCGGAGUUGAACUAGCAGGACACCUGCGGGCAGCCCAUCAAGCUCAGCACCCAGGCCCUAUAAGCCUGCUGCCCAGCCAAGAGAAAGAGCCAGCCAGCCUCCAUCGUUCCUCACUGCGUGGUCUCCAGCUUGGCAUGGCCACCACGGUGGAGGUCUCCCUGACCAUGCAGCUGGUCAUCUGCAUCUCCUCUGUGAUGGAUGGCAGGAAGAAUUGAUGCAUGGAUCCCAUGACCAUUGGCUUCUGUCACCAUGGCACACCCCAUGAGGAUGUUCCACACCGGAGCUGAAAUGAACCCUGACAGAUCCUUCACC